UCCAGGGGUGGGGUCAAGACAGGAGC
rnacentral:piRNA from 1 species